GACGAACGCUGGCGGCGUGCUUAACACAUGCAAGUCGAACGGAAAGGCCCCUUUGGUGGUACUCUGGUGUCAAACGGGUGAGGAACACUUGAGUAACCUUCCCUUAACUUCAAGAUAACGUCAGGAAACUGGAGCUAUUGCCAGUUAGGGAUCCUUUCUUCAUGGGGGUGGUUGGAAAGCUUCGGCGGGUUUGGAUGGACUCGCGGCUUAACAGCUUGUUGGUUGGGUAGUGGCUUACCAAAGCGUUGACGGGUAGCCAGACUGAGAGGCCGACCGGCGAUAUUGGGACUGACAGACGGCAGCGACACGGAAGGGAGGCAGAAGUGGGGAAUACUGCCGAAUGGGCGGCAGGUUGAUGAAGAAACGCUGCGUGUGGGAUGACGGUCUUAGGGUUGUAAAACGUUUUUGGAAGGGGCGAAGCUUGUGGUGACGGUACCUGAAGAAGAAGCAACGGCUAACUACGUG
rnacentral:rRNA from 1 species